AUUGAACGCUGGCGGCAGGCCUAACACAUGCAAGUCGAGCGGGAACUUCGGUUCUAGCGGCGGACGGGUGAGUAAUGCGUAGGAAGCUACCCGACAGAGGGGGAUACCAGUUGGAAACGACUGUUAAUACCGCAUAAUGUCUACGGACCAAAGUGUGGGACCUUCGGGCCACAUGCUGUCGGAUGCGCCUACGUGGGAUUAGCUAGUUGGUGAGGUAACGGCUCACCAAGGCGACGAUCCCUAGCUGGUUUGAGAGGAUGAUCAGCCACACUGGGACUGAGACACGGUCCAGACUCCUACGGGAGGCAGCAGUGGGGAAUAUUGGACAAUGGGCGAAAGCCUGAUCCAGCCAUGCCGCGUGUGUGAAGAAGGCCUUCGGGUUGUAAAGCACUCUCAGUAGGGAGGAAGAGUUGAGUGUUAAUAGUACUCAGCUUUGACGUUACCUACAGAAGAAGCACCGGCUAACUUUGUGCCAGCCGCCGCCGUAACAC
rnacentral:rRNA from 1 species